CUUUCUCCAUGGCUUGACAUGUAGGAAGUAAAUCAAAGAUGCACUUCCCCUGGAAAUACCCCCUAGAUGCAACAGUGACAUACGGACUUCCCCUUUGCAUUACAAGUUACACCAUUAAGAAAGAUAAGCUAAGCUUCAGACAAUGCUGAAAACUAGGUUUCAGUCUCAGGAUAUCCGUCAAAAUUACUUUUGAAUGAUCUAGUGUUACACAUUUUUAAUUUACUGACAAAAAAUAGUGACCUCUUCUUCUCCAUGUGCAAGACAUCAAAAAAUUUCAAACCUCACAGGGAUACUAUAACAUGAUGCAAUAAAGUCAAGUCAUAAACAAAUUAAGAGCUGAAGCCAACAGGACAUUGUUGGAAUUACAGGAAAUUCUGGAUACGUCACAUAACUUCCUUAAAGAGUUCAAAUUCAUGGACUAGGAAGAAUCAAAAAUAGAAUAAACAAAUUACCAGGAUUUUUAAGGAUUAUUUAUCUGAUUUAUAGUUUCUUGAGGUUAUUGUGAAAUCAAAAAAAUAUGUU